AAAUGCGUAGAUAUCUGGAGGAACACCAGUGGCGAAAGCGACUUACUGGGACAGUUCUGACGCUAAGGGACGAAAGCGUGGGGAGCGAACCGGAUUAGAUACCCGGGUAGUCCACGCCGUAAACGAUGAUUGCUAGGUUUUCGGGGCAUCGACCCCUUGUGAGCCGAAGUUAACGCGUUAAGCAAUCCGCCUGAGUAGUACGGCCGCAAGGCUAAAACUCAAAGGAAUUGACGGGGGACCGCACAAGCAGCGGAGCGUGUGGUUUAAUUCGAUGGUAAGCGAAGAACCUUACCAGGGUUUGACAUGUAAGUAGUACUGAACCGAAAGGGGAUGGACCCGCAAGGGAGCUUACACAGGUGUUGCAUGGUUGUCGUCAGCUCGUGCCGUGAGGUGUUGGGUUAAGUCCCGCAACGAGCGCAACCCUCUUUGUUAGUUGCACUCUCUAACGAUACUGCCCUUAAAAGGGAGGAAGGUGGGGAUGACGUCAAAUCAUCAUGGCUCUUACACCCUGGGCUACACACACGCUACAAUGGCAAGUACAGACGGUCGCCAACCCGCGAGGGGGAGCUAAUCCGAUAAAACUUGUCUCAGUUGGGAUUGCAGGCUGAAAUUCGCCUGCAUGAACGUGGAGUUGCUAGUAAACGCAGGUCAGCACACUGCGUUGAAUACGUUCCCGGUCCUUGUACACACCGCCCGUCACGUCAUGGAAGUUGGUAACACUUGAAGUCGUUGCGCUAACCCUUUUGGGAGGCAGACGCCGAGAGUGGGACUGAUGACUGGGAUGAAGUCGUAACAAGGUAGCUGUACCGGAAGGUGCGGCUGGAUCACCUCCUUUCUAAGGA
rnacentral:rRNA from 1 species